rnacentral:lncRNA from 1 species
UCCAGAGGGAGGCUUGGACUUGGGAGUCCUGACCUCGAAGGGGAAGUCCGCUUGUGGGAGGCUCCGGUUGAACUGGAGCCGGAGGAGGCGGUGCCGUUGGGAUGCCUCUGGGCUGCAGGCUUUGGACAGCGGUAGCCAGGGCCUGCACCUGUUGUACCAGGGCAUCGAACUGCUCCGGCCGAACUUGAUGAACUGACUCGGUCGGAGGUGAUGAGUUUCGGACGGAACGCUCCGGGCUAGGUGGAGGACGUCGAGAGGCAUUGGAAGCCCCUUUGCUUCUUAG